GACGUAGGAUGCGAGCGUUGUCCGGAUUUAUUGGGCGUAAAGAGUUCGUAGGUGGUUCGUUAAGUCUGGUGUAAAAGACUGGGGCUCAACCCUGGGAUCGCACUGGAUACUGGCGGACUGGAGUGUGGUAGAGGCAAGCGGAAUUCCCAGUGUAGCGGUGAAAUGCGUAGAUAUUGGGAAGAACACCGGUGGCGCAAGCGGCUUGCUGGGCCAUAACUGACAGCUGAGGAAGCGAAAGCUAGGGGAGCGAAUGGG
rnacentral:rRNA from 1 species